rnacentral:misc_RNA from 1 species
UGGUUCUGGCAUCGAUGAAGAACGCAGCAAAAUGCGAUAAGUAAUGCGAAUUGCAGAAUUUCCGUGAGUCAUCGAAUCUUUGAACGCACAUUGCGCCCUUUGGUAUUCCGAAGGGCAUGCCUGUUCGAGCGUCAUUAUCAAUCUUCAAACUCUUAUGUUUGUAGUUGGGUCAUGUUCCAGUAAUGGAACAGACCCCAAAGACAAUGAUGGUAUCCUUGUGGAUGUGAUACAAUGAGCUUUUUAAGCACGUAUCAACAAAAGCGAGGACACUGUCGAUAACCAACACUUUUUUCAAUGGUUGACCUCGGAUCAGGUAGGAAUACCCGCUGA